rnacentral:rRNA from 1 species
CGGAGGUGAGUAGUGUCUGGGAAACUGCCUGAUGGAGGGGGAUAACUACUGGAAACGGUAGCUAAUACCGCAUAACGUCGCAAGACCAAAGAGGGGGACCUUAGGGCCCCUUGCCAUCGGAUGUGCCCAGAUGGGAUUAGCUAGUAGGUGGGGUAAUGGCUCACCUAGGCGACGAUCCCUAGCUGGUCUGAGAGGAUGACCAGCCACACUGGAACUGAGACACGGUCCAG